AUUGAACGCUGGCGGCAGGCCUAACACAUGCAAGUCGAACGAGUGGCGGACGGGUGAGUAAUGUCUGGGAAACUGCCCGAUGGAGGGGGAUAACUACUGGAAACGGUAGCUAAUACCGCAUACCAUCGGAUGUGCCCAGCUGGGAUAAGCUAGUAGGUGGGGUAACGGCUCAACUAGGCGACGGGCCCUAGCUGGUCUGAGAGGAUGACCAGCCACGCGGGAACCGAGACACGGUCCCGACUCCUACGGGAGGCAGCAGUGGGGAAUAUUGCACAAUGGGCGCAAGCCUGAUACAGCCAUGCCGCGUGUAUGAAGAAGGCCUUCGGGUUGUAAAGUACUUUCAGCGAGGAGGCGUUACUCGCAGAAGAAGCACCGGCUAACUCCGUGCCAGCAGCCGCGGUAAUAC
rnacentral:rRNA from 1 species